rnacentral:rRNA from 1 species
AUACGUAGGGUGCGAGCGUUGUCCGGAAUUACUGGGCGUAAAGAGCUCGUAGGUGGUUUGUCGCGUCGUCUGUGAAAUUCCGGGGCUUAACUCCGGGCGUGCAGGCGAUACGGGCAUAACUUGAGUACUGUAGGGGAGACUGGAAUUCCUGGUGUAGCGGUGAAAUGCGCAGAUAUCAGGAGGAACACCGGUGGCGAAGGCGGGUCUCUGGGCAGUAACUGACGCUGAGGAGCGAAAGCAUGGGUAGCGAACAGGAUUAGAUACCCUGGUAGUCCAUGUCGUAAACGGUGGGCGCUAGGUGUAGGGGUCUUCCACGACUUCUGUGCCGUAGCUAACGCAUUAAGCGCCCCGCCUGGGGAGUACGGCCGCAAGGCUAAAACUCAAAUGAAUUGACGGGG